rnacentral:lncRNA from 1 species
AUUAUAUUUGAGGCAACAUUUUGUUUCUAUGGAAAUGUGCUUUUUAGUUUCCUAUUGGAAUUAAGAAUGAGAGGUUGUUUUCUAAUUCAGGUCUUUUAGUCUUAUUUCCAUCUCUUAAACCCUCAUAUUAUAUUUUAGCUUCUAGGAGAUGAUGAAUAAAUGUUGAUUCAGCAAUUCCACAGAAAAAUUUGACUCAAUUUCUUAACUGUAUAGGUCUUGAUCAUGUUAAAAGCUCAUCACCAUCUCCCUCCUUCUGAUUGCUAGUGACACUAGCCAGUGCCAGUCUUGAUGGCACAGAUUCUUGUUUGAGAUUCAUUUAGAUGAGAAGUGUGAUAUAAGAUGUGAGGGCAUAUUGAAAUAAGGGUAAAACAUCAGAAAACACUGCCUUUGUGAAGAAACCACCUUUUUUCUCCCAAGGUAUCUACUAGAUAAUCUUCAUUCAUCCACCUCCAUUAUUUAGUUCACUUUUUACAUCCCGUUAUAGUUGGACAACUAGUUACCACUCAAUUCAUGACAGUUAGGAUCAGGGGGAGGUUUUUUGAGUUUUUUGUUUGUUUGUUUAUUUUAUUUAUUUAUUUAUCUUAACCCACGGUGUUCUUAAUUUGAAUUCUUGUCAUAGAGUUCAUCUUCUUCAAAUUUUUUCUUUUCUAAUUUAAUAAAGAGUAAAUUUGCUGAAUUAGAGGACACUGUAUAAGAACUGCCUGUUUGGUUGAAUAUUUGAAUUAAUAGUCUAAAAUUGUUAAGAAUUUAUAUCUGCUUAUUUUUCUUCUGAUGAAUUUUUAAUUUUUUAAUUAAAAUGUUUAAUUGAGGGAAAACUGCAUCUAGGACUGACUGACUCCUAACAUACACAAAAGAAUAAUUCUCUAAGUGUUAAACCUCUGGCUAUGGUGACUGUUUUAUGUUUCUUUUCACUGUAUUAUUUUUAUAACUUUUUCAACUCUAAAAUAAAGGCAUAUUAAAAAAUUCCUUAUACAAAAGUGGAUAAUGUUUUAACAUUUUCACAAAGGGAAAAAACCUCUAUAUUAAAUUCUUGGAAAUCACAGAUCUUUUAGAAGUCUCUAUUUCUUUCUGCAUUUAUGAUUUAAUUCCUAAAUUCUGUAGAUCAAAUCAGGCAUAAAUAUGUCCAGUUUCUAGGGUUUCUCUUUUUCCUUCUUUCUUACAUUUUCAUAUGUCUGUAUUUUAUGUAUCAUGUGCUAGAUUAAGAUUUGAUAUGAAUUGUGAUUAAGGUAUUAUUAAGGAAUUACUAGGAAUGUGCACAUGGUGGUGGAGAAAAUGAAGGAAACUGUAUUUGAGAGGUAUUUGCUUAAUUGCAGUAUAGAAGAGAAGUCAGAAAAGGGGAAGGGGGAUAAAAAUGGAAAAGAAAGGUGAAAGAGCAGAAGAAAAAAAUGCAAAGAGAAUUAUUUGCAUAGCUGUGGUUGAUUAUGUAUUUGCUUCUGUUUCAAUUUAUUUAAUUUACUUGUUCUUUGCUCAUUGAAUUUUAAACUUCCAGAAAAUGGGGGCCAUUGCUUCUGCUGCCUUUGCAACUCCCAGAUCCUAAUAGUGUCAACUCAAUUAUCCAUUCAGAGAUUAUCUGCUUUGUGUUUUAGCCUUUGCAAAUAUAGCUUUCAAGUUCUUAUUGACAUAAGUAAACAAAGAGGGUGAUAAAGUAAGUCAUUUUACUAUUUCAUGCUUACUUUUGCACUCUUAGGUAGUUUGGCUCUUAGACUAGACUAUUCAUAGUCAGUCUUUAACUUUGAUUCGAAAUGGAUCAGUUGUUUGACUUUUUUUUUUUUCCUUAGAAAAAUAAAAGCAAUUUAUAAUAGAAGUGUUUUUCUAAUGGAUUUAAUUGUAUUGAUUUUUAGCCCCUGCCUCUCCCAGCUAUCCUCCACUUAGGGGUAAAAAUCAACCCAGUACACAGUUCUGUAUUUGGUUAUAGAACCAUGCCUGGCUCACUGAUACUCAGCUGACUCCUAAGGACUUGGAAAAUCUUUAGUCAUCGAAGACAGCUUUAAUUGGUACACAGAGCUCACAUACAUAGUUGAGGAAGAGAGGGUGUAUUUUGGUAGGAUUUUCAAGAAGGAUCGAAACAUUAAUUUUCUGGUGUUCUCUUACAAAAAAUACCGAGUUACCUAGCUUUAUAAUUCUCUUCUCCAGCACAAAAGAAUGAUAAAAUACAAAUACAGCAAAUUUAAAGAAAAAAUAAUAUUUGUUUAAACCAGCUUUUAAAAAAAUCUGAGGAACAUAGUUCUCUUAAUGAUCAGCAGUUAAAAAACAUUGAAAAACUUUUCAGUUAUUUCAUUAACAUGUAUGCUCUGCAAAGCGUUGUCAGUUCCAGAAAAUUGAACACUAUGGUAUUCAAAUGUAGGUGCAAAUAAGUGUCUGCUCUAUUGUUCUGUGUGCAUAAUUCUGUCAUAGUUUAUUUGAAUUUUUGCUUAAUUACUUCCUAUUUCCUUUGCUGUAGAGGGAGCUCCUUGAAGUCAGGACCCCUGUCUCUGAGUUCUGUAUCUUUAAGAUUGAACCCAGUUCCUGGAGUAUAGCAGACACAGAACAGGUGUUAGAUGAAUUAAUCAUUGUAUGAGCUACGAAUGUUUUUCGAUGGGUUUUGUUUGUUUUUGUGGGGGGGUUGCAGUUUUAAAAAUUAAUAGAUAGGAAGUAUUGACCAUGAUGUUCUCUAACGUGCACUGAGUAUUUGAUUUAGCUUUUAACAUCUGAAGUCAUUAGUCUCUCAUUUCUGAGGAAAAAAUGAUAGCUUUUUUGUACCUUUGCUGUUUUUCUUACCUAAAAGCCAAAUGUAUUAAGUAAAUUGUAAAUGUUGGAUGAUAACAUUUUAUACUGUUUAAGAACUUUCACAUGUGUUAUUAAGCCUUAUCUUCGCAACAACCUGAAAGAGAAAUAGGUGAGGAAACUGAGGCAGAGAUUUAUGCCAGAAGUUAUACAUUUAAAACUUUUGAAUUUCUAGUUCAGUGCUUUUUUACCUUUACCUUACAGAUACCUUUCAAAUUAUUUCUUGUUACUUAUUGUGUUACUUGAUAAGGCUGCUGAAACAAAGUAUCCUGCAGUGGGUGGCUUAAACAGCAGAAAUUUCUCUUCUUAUAGUUCAGCAGUCUAGAAGUCCAAAAUCAUGUUGUUCACAGGAUUGGUUUCUUCUGAGGGCUGUGAAAGAAGAAUCUGUCCAGACCUCUUUGUUGGAGUUCCCGUCAUGGCUCAGUGGUUAAUGAAUCUGACUAGGAACCAUGAGGUUGCGGCUUUGACCUCUGGCCUUGCUCAGUGGGUUAAGGAUCUGGCAUUGCCAUGAGUUGUGGUGUAGGUUGCAGACGCAGCUUGGAUCCUGUGUUGCUGUGGCUCUGGCGUAGGCUGGUGGCUACACCUCCGAUUAGACUCCUAGCCUGGGAACCUCCAUAUACCGUGGAAGCGGCCCAAGAAA